UACGAAGGGUGCAAGCGUUACUCGGAAUUACUGGGCGUAAAGCGUGCGUAGGCGGUUUGUUAAGUCCGUUGUGAAAGCCCUGGGCUCAACCUGGGAAUUGCAGUGGAUACUGGCGAGCUAGAGUGCGGUAGAGGAUGGUGGAAUUCCCGGUGUAGCGGUGAAAUGCGUAGAUAUCGAGAGGAACACCAGCGGCGAAGGCGGCUCACUGGGCUCCACCUGACGCUGAGGCGCGAAAGCGUGGGGAGCAAACCGG
rnacentral:rRNA from 1 species